rnacentral:sRNA from 1 species
GCUGGGCGUGGUGGUCCAUGCCUGUAAUCCUAGUAACUCAGGGGGCUGAGGCAGGAGGAUCAUGAGUUCUUGAGGCCAACCUCUGCAACUUGCAAGAUCCUGUCCCAA